rnacentral:tRNA from 1 species
GCGGGCGUAGCUCAAUGGUAGAGCCUCAGUCUUCCAAACUGAUUACGUGAGUUCGAUUCUCAUCGCCCGCUCCA